CAAUACUGUUAAUAUAGCAAUUGAAAUCAUUUCUAAGUUUUGUGUGAUCAAUUAUAUGUUUAUGUACGAGUUGCUGGGCUCUAUUAGUUUUAAACCUAAUCGAUGAGAGAAUUGGAAAAUGAUCACUGAUAUCUGAGAAAAUUGUAUCGUUACGAACUAGCUCUGCAUCAUCCAUUUUACAAACAAAAUGAUCCAGUAUAUUAUUACUUGCUGGUCUAGUUACGAAAGUAUUCGUGCAUAUGAAGUCAUAUGAUUCCAACAAUCUUCUAUAUUUUAUGACAACAUUAUUGUUAGCCAUAUUCAAAGGUACAUUUAAGUCUCCAGCAAUAAAAGACGAUCGAUUUCUGUUCGUGUUAUGUAACCAUCUCUCUAGCAUAUCAUUAAAACGGUGGAAAUCAAAACAAGGGGGUCUAUAUAUGCCAUGAAAGUCCAUACAAUGCUUAUUUAGUUCAAUUUCGACGUGAAUAUGAUGCAUCCCAUCCACUGCUUCAUUACACACAAGCCUAUGCUUGAUUCCCUGUUUAAUGUAAAUAGCUAGGCCUCCACUAGAACUAUAAGCUAUUUUACGAGACGUUCUACCGGUGGGCCGCUCGUUGUUAUUGUUUACAUUUGAUGUUUUUGUUUUCGCGAAAAGUAGCAUAACAUGUGGGGAGUGCCAAUCAGAUUUUUGCUGGCAGAGAUGUUUCGGUUUCUAAUGUGGCAUGUAUCAAUCCCCCGAGCUGCAUGAGGUCACUAGCAGAUGAAAAAAACAUCCCCACGGUUUACGGAUAUUAAUUAUAGUGGGUGAAUUGACGCAUUUUUGCAGAUAAAUGAACCUCGUUUAUUGGAUGGGCCUGUAUCACAUGUUAUGCUAGCGAAAAUGUAAAUAAAUGGGCCCACCGGUUGGACUUCAAAACUGGCAAACAUUCAAAAAACAGCUGAUUUGAAACGUCUCAUAAAAUGCCUUAUUCCUACAUGAAAAAACGGCAACGUAACCUGGUAUUCGAUAGAGGGAUACGUUCUCAAUCUUUAACCAGGUUUCACUGACAACAAUUACGUCAACCGGCACACAAAAACUCUCAAUACUCUGUAACAAGCUAUCAAAUUUACUUAGAUCAUUUAACCCUCUUGUAUUCCAUUGCAAAACACGCAGUCCUUUGACUUGAUUCGUACUGCGACAACAUGAUUGAUUGAAAUCAUCAAUUGAAUCAUGAAAGUAAUUUUCAAGUGUACAAGCCAUUAUAUAUAAAAAAAAAAAACACUAUUUUUUACAAACUAUCAAGGAUACUUGAAUAUCAUUUACCUGUUUUUGAAACGUGUCUGUUACGGUAGUUCGCACCUAUCCCUUAUAACUGCCACCGCAUUGGUGCGCCCCUCGGAGAAAAGUCAUAAUGACAACUGAAAUUGUCAUCGGUGACAUGUAGGAUUAGAUGUCAAAGGAAAGGAGAUGAAAAUCAUACAUGAAAGUCAAGUGAACUGCAUUUGUGAAUUUAUAAAACUUUAUUUCCCUAAUUUCUAUAACAAACAAAUUGUGGCAUACAGCCUGCAAAAACUGUUAUGAGCCAUUUUACGAGACGUUUCGGAUCAGCUGAUCGCUCAUUUCAUGAAUGAAAAUUUGACAGGAGGUUGCGCCCAAGCCCGUGAGUGUUAAUAUCAAUAUCAACACUGUUGUCGUUUCGUAAAAUAGACUAUUAUCCCGUCAGUUGAACAACGUUUGUCAGUUGAGGUUAUAAGAUCGUGAGUUGCCUAAUUUAUUGAUAAAAUGAUGAAUUUGUAAUUUUAUUAUCAAAUAUUAAUGCUUUGUAGCGUAUAACGGCCUCACUGGUGCUCAUCGUAGCUUGUUGGGUUUACCAAAAGGGGAAAAGAAGACCAAUGUAAGUAAAUCUACUCAUAAACAGCCUUUAAGAACGUAUAUUAAUAAAGAAAUGUAGCUUUUAGCUCUCACACACGUUACACACAAACGAAGGUGUUUGCUCAGGAGACUUCUCGAAACCCCACCACCCAACAGUGUCGUUGUCAGAGUUUGAUUGCAACACGUUCUUUAGUUUUGUUUUUGGUUUGUGAUCGCCCCUGUUCACCCAUCUUGCCCACUACAGUCUUCGUCUUCUUGUAUCAACCGGAUAUGUUACAAACACCAGCGAGACAGGGCUGUGCUAGGCUUUCUCGCAACGUGCCCUGCCCCUCGCUUCCUUCAGGCUCCGACCACCUUCUGGAUGCUAGGUACACCGUUGAGUCCCUCGCCGCCACACACAGCUCUCCACACACUUCCACUUCCACAGUCAUUAAAUAGGAGCUUCGAAUUUUCAUUUCGAAAGUUUAUGGAACGACCGGGAAUUCACCUCGUUACCCCUAAGUAGACUUGCUGAAUACUCGAAUAUCGUCCAACGCACGCUUUUUUUGAGUACAUCGAGUGCUUGCAGGUCCUUUUCGGAUAUGGUAACUGCAAGGUUUCAUGACCGUAUCUUCAAACUGGUCUUCUUCCAAAAGAAUGUUAAGUCAAGAAAAAAUAUAUAUAUAUAUUUAUUAUUUAUCAUUGACAGAU